UACAGAGACUGCAAGCGUUAUUCGGAUUCACUGGGCGUAAAGGGUGCGCAGGUGGGUUUGCAAGUUUGAUGUGAAAGCCCCGGGCUUAACCCGGGAAUGGCAUUGAAUACUGCAGAUCUGGAGGAUUGGAGGGGGGACUGGAAUUCUUGGUGUAGCAGUGAAAUGCGUAGAUAUCAAGAGGAACACCAGUGGCGAAGGCGAGUCCCUGGACAGUGACUGACGCUGAGACGCGAAAGCGUGGGGAGCAAACAGG
rnacentral:rRNA from 1 species